UCGGAAUUACUGGGCGUAAAGCGCACGUAGGCGGCUUCUUAAGUCGGUGGUGAAAUCCUGGAGCUCAACUCCAGAACUGCCUUCGAUACUGGGGAGCUCGAGUCCGGGAGAGGUGAGUGGAACUGCGAGUGUAGAGGUGAAAUUCGUAGAUAUUCGCAAGAACACCAGUUGCGAAGGCGGCUCACUGGCCCGGUACUGACGCUGAGGUGCGAAAGCGUGGGGAGCAAACAGG
rnacentral:rRNA from 1 species